GAUAAGGUUAAGAGGGUGUGGCGAAGGCCAGGGGUCUGAGGAGGAUGCUGCUGUGCAAGUUGCAGUCCCUGUUAGGGCCCAUGGGGCAAUUGUCCCGCAGGCGCCAGGUGGUCGCUACUACCGGGACUGCGGCAUUUUAUCCGGCUCUGGAGGUCUGGGUUUCCUUCCUGACUGAGUAUAUUGGAAGGACAUUGUGGCAAACCUAGCCACUUGGACUAUAUCAAGAGACUGUACCUUUAAGGGUUGCCUGUAUGUCGGUGGGGAUAUGUGUUCAACUAUGUAUAUUGUAUGCUGGCUGUAAUACCUUGAAUUACCUGUAUUUGCUAUCCGCCGAAAUCAGAUAGCUAUUUGUAUUGGGUUUUCCUUUCGUUUCACAAACGG